rnacentral:misc_RNA from 1 species
GUUUUCUAUUCCAGCUCCUAUGGGAGCAGAGUGCUACUCUGGGGAUGACCCAAGGAGAAAGUUGGGGUUCUUCCGAUAAACUGCCUUCAAAGGUGGGGGGGCAAAAACCGCUUCUAAUGGAAGCGGGGGAGGGAUCCACCCAAGAGGGGCGCAAAGGAAAGGCUCCUUUAGAUUUUGAAUUCGAAAUGGAGGUUCGGUCCGCCCCAGAUUUUAUAGAUCCGCCACUCAGCCCUACGGAGGGCGAACGGUUGAGCCCAACCACUGGCCCUUCGCCAGAAGGGGGUGAUCAUCCCCAUGACAACACGCCACCGGUGGCGGUGGAACCGGCCCCACUUCCUGAGACAAAUCCGACUCGGG